UACGUAGGUGGCAAGCGUUGUCCGGAUUUAUUGGGUUUAAAGGGUGCGUAGGCGGUCUAUUAAGUCAGUUGUGAAAUACGGCAGCUCAACUGUCGAGGUGCAAUUGAUACUGAUGGACUUGAGUACUGAUGAGGUAAGCGGAAUGGACGGUGUAGCGGUGAAAUGCGUAGAGAUGUGGAGGAACACCGAUGGCGAAGGCAGCCUUCUGGGCCAACACUGACGCUCAUGCACGAAAGCGUGGGGAGCAAACAGG
rnacentral:rRNA from 1 species